UACGUAGGGGGCAAGCGUUGUCCGGAUUUAUUGGGCGUAAAGAGCGUGUAGGCGGCCAAGCAGGUCCGCUGUGAAAACUCGAGGCUCAACCUCGAGAGGUCGGUGGAAACCGUUUGGCUAGAGUCCGGAAGAGGAGAGUGGAAUUCCCGGUGUAGCGGUGAAAUGCGCAGAUAUCGGGAAGAACACCCGUGGCGAAGGCGGCUCUCUGGGCCUGUACUGACGCUGAGGAGCGAAAGCGUGGGGAGCGAACAGG
rnacentral:rRNA from 1 species